GGGUGAUUAGCUCAGCUGGUAGAGCACAUGCCUUGCAAGCAUGGGGUCAGCGGUUCGAAUCCGCUAUCAUCCA
rnacentral:tRNA from 1 species